rfam:Morus notabilis contig11387, whole genome shotgun sequence.
UGACGAAAGCGAUGUUGGCGAGGUUCAAUCUGAGGUUGUAUUUAUGCAAUUAAAGCAUAGGAAUUGAUCUCAGAUUGAGCCGCGCCAAUAUCACUUCCCAUGUG